UCAAACUUGGUCAUUUAGAGGAAGUAAAAGUCGUAACAAGGUUUCCGUAGGUGAACCUGCGGAAGGAUCAUUAAUGAUAAUUCGGCGUCUAUUGUCGAUACUAUCUUUUGUGAAAGAACAGAACUAAAAAAAUUUGGGGCUUAAAGAUGUUUUCGGGGUAACCUGGAAACGGCCCCAACUAUUUAACAAACCUACUAUCUUUAUGAACUGACAAAUGUUAUCAAAUAACUAAAAAAUAACUUUCAACAACGGAUCUCUUGGUUCUCGCAUCGAUGAAGAACGCAGC
rnacentral:misc_RNA from 1 species